UACGGAGGGUGCAAGCGUUGUUCGGAAUUAUUGGGCGUAAGGCGCGCGCAGGCGGUCGAAAAAGUCUAUGGGUAAAAGGCCGGGGCUCAACCCCGAGUACGCCCAGGAUACUGUUCGACUGGAGACACGUAGAGGCAAGCGGAAUUUCGGGUGUAGCGGUGGAAUGCGUAGAUAUCCGAAAGAACAUCGGAGGCGAAGGCGGCUUGCUGGGCGUGAUCUGACGCUGAGGCGCGAAAGCGUGGGGAGCGAACAGG
rnacentral:rRNA from 1 species